GACAGAGGGUGCGAACGUUGUUCGGAAUUACUGGGCGUAAAGCGCGUGUAGGCGGUCGUGCAAGUCGGGUGUGAAAGCCCUGGGCUCAACCCAGGAAGUGCAUUCGAUACUGCGCGACUGGAGUCCCGGAGAGGAUGGUGGAACUCUCGGUGUAGAGGUGAAAUUCGUAGAUAUCGAGAAGAACACCGGUGGCGAAGGCGGCCAUCUGGACGGUGACUGACGCUGAGACGCGAAAGCGUGGGGAG
rnacentral:rRNA from 1 species